AGUAGAGAUGGGGUUUCACCAUGUUGGCCAGGCUGGUCUCGAACUCCUGACUUCAGGUGAUUGUUCACCUCGGCCUCCCAAAGUGCUGGGAUUACAGGCGUGGGCCACCACACCCGGCCCUAUUUACCUCUUUAUCUCUUACCCCAGUCAGAUCUUAUGAAGUAUAACUAAGAUACUUAGACACUUGUAAUUUUGCUCUACUACUCAUUUUUUUUUUUUUUAAAGAAAAAUUCUUUUCUAGUCCUUUGCCUGCCCUCUAAGUGGAGGUUAGCCUGGUCUUCUAAUGAGAUGUGUAUAUGAAGGGAAUUGAUUUAAGUAUGUAUUUUCUGAUGUGUUUAGGUUGGUUGUGUGUAUACACAUGUACUCUGUAGUUGUAAAGCUUUUCUGCCUUCUUAGUCUGUAAGCUCAGAGGGCAAGAACCACUCCAUUCCCACAUUAGGGGAAAUCCUUGAGGCCAGACCCAGAGAAAGAACUCAGCCCAUGGUCAAUGAGGAUAAGUAUAAGGAUAUAAAGAUAGAAAGAAGGCUCCCUCUCCUCUGCCUUCUGCCCACAUUCUGGUUAGGUGCCACCUCGAAACCUUUUGAGCCUACAGGGUCAAUUGAGCUGGGGUCAUAGGGAAGCCCACUAAGGGUGUUUUUAGGUUCCUGGCUAGUGAAACUCAUUUAGAUGGCUGUGGUGGGCAGAGAAAUUCUUGGCCUACAAUUAAACAGCUAACCACUAAGUUGUAGGAUGGAUAGGCAGCUCCUGAGGAGCUCAUGUAUUUCAGAGCCCAGGCUGCAGAGACUGCAGCAAGGUGGCUGGGUGUUGGGAAGGGCAGGAAAGGACUUACCACUAACUCUGAGGCCCACCUACUCUGCUAUAAGCAGUGAAUAACGGUUGGGAGGAUUCCAGAAAUGCUGCCCCCAGCUCCACCAGGGUGCAAGCUAGUUGAACAGAUAUGUUGUCCAGGUGUUCAAGAAAUAAUCUUCACUCCUUUGCUUGCACAGAGGUGAUCAGGCUUCUCCCCCAUUUCAGCUCUCUUCAGGGAGAUCAGGCUGAAGCCUCUUCAGACGUCAAGGCAUCUUUCAUAGCAGAUCCUGUGGUAAUGAUGGUGAUGAGGCUGCUACUGGUGAUUCUUUGAAAGUGCCAAGAGAUUAGUGCAAGCCAAGCUCCCCCAUCCAGUUCUGCCUGCCUCUCAGGUAGGGGCAUGGCUGCCUGUGUGGUGGGGAGUCCAUUCUUUACUGGAG